rnacentral:snRNA from 1 species
GUGCUUGCUUCAGUAGCACAUAUACUAAAACUGGAACAAUUCAGAGAAGAUUAGCAUGGCCCCUGUGCAAAGAUGACACACAAAUUUGUGAAGCAUUUCAUAAUUUG